UCAACCAAAAUCCUUCCCAAUAUAUAUAAAUUAGUAAACACUAAACUAUAGCUAGAGACAAUGAAUAGAGAAUCUAUUCAACAUAAGAGAAAAGUCUGCGUGAUCGAAACCCCAAUGAAAAUGACAUUGUUACAUUAAUUUCAAAGCUCGUAUGAGAAAUGGAUAUUACAAGUAGUAGUAACCCAAAAAAAAAUUAAAAAAUUAAACUCUCCCAUCAAAACUAAGUGUUGAAUAACUUUAAAAAAAUUAUUUAGAAAAUGACUCUAGAAAAAGUUUACAUAAUCACACAACCAGGUUCGUCUACAACAACUCUAGAAGUCU
rnacentral:lncRNA from 1 species